rnacentral:rRNA from 1 species
GAUGAACGCUGGCGGUAUGCUUUACACAUGCAAGUCGAACGCAAGUUUUUAACUUGAGUGGCGGACGGGUGAGUAACACGUGAGAAUUCGCCUUUAGGCGGGGAAUAACCAUCGGAAACAAUGGCUAAUGCCCCAUAUGCUCGCAAGAGUGAAAGGAGCAAUCCACCCAGAGAGAAGCUCGCGGCUGAUUAGCUAGUUGGUAAGGUAAUGGCUUACCAAGGCGACGAUCAGUAGCUGGUUUGAGAGAACGAUCAGCCACACUGGAACUGAGACACGGUCCAG